rnacentral:rRNA from 1 species
UGGGGAAUAUUGGACAAUGGGGGGAACCCUGAUCCAGCCAUGCCGCGUGUGUGAAGAAGGCCUUUUGGUUGUAAAGCACUUUAAGUGGGGAGGAGGCUUACCUGGUUAAUACCUGGGCUAAGUGGACGUUACCCACAGAAUAAGCACCGGCUAACUCUGUGCCAGCAGCCGCGGUAAUACAGAGGGUGCGAGCGUUAAUCGGAUUUACUGGGCGUAAAGCGCGCGUAGGUGGUUAAUUAAGUCAAAUGUGAAAUCCCCGAGCUUAACUUGGGAAUUGCAUUCGAUACUGGUUAGCUAGAGUAUGGGAGAGGAUGGUAGAAUUCCAGGUGUAGCGGUGAAAUGCGUAGAGAUCUGGAGGAAUACCGAUGGCGAAGGCAGCCAUCUGGCCUAAUACUGACACUGAGGUGCGAAAGCAUGGGGAGCAA